rnacentral:rRNA from 1 species
AUUGAACGCUGGCGGCAUGCCUUACACAUGCAAGUCGAACGGCAGCACGGGUGCUUGCACCUGGUGGCGAGUGGCGAACGGGUGAGUAAUACAUCGGAACAUGUCCUGUAGUGGGGGAUAGCCCGGCGAAAGCCGGAUUAAUACCGCAUACGAUCUACGGAUGAAAGCGGGGGACCUUCGGGCCUCGCGCUAUAGGGUUGGCCGAUGGCCGAUUAGCUAGUUGGUGGGGUAAAGGCCUACCAAGGCGACGAUCAGUAGCUGGUCUGAGAGGACGACCAGCCACACAGGGACUGAGACACGGCCCAGACUCCUACGGGAGGCAGCAGUGGGGAAGUUUGGACAAUGGGCGAAAGCCUGAUCCAGCAAUGCCGCGUGUGUGAAGAAGGCCUUCGGGUUGUAAAGCACUUUUGUCCGGAAAGAAAUCCUUGGCCCUAAUACGGUCGGGGGAUGACGGUACCGGAAGAAUAAGCACCGGCUAACUACGU